CAGCCGCCGCGGGAAUACAGAGGGUGCGAGCGUUAAUCGGAUUUACUGGGCGUAAAGCGUGCGUAGGCGGCUUUUUAAGUCGGAUGUGAAAUCCCUGAGCUUAACUUAGGAAUUGCAUUUGAUACUGGGAAGCUAGAGUAUGGGAGAGGAUGGUAGAAUUCCAGGUGUAGCGGUGAAAUGCGUAGAGAUCUGGAGGAAUACCGAUGGCGAAGGCAGCCAUCUGGCCUAAUACUGACGCUGAGGUACGAAAGCAUGGGGAGCAAACAGGAUUAGAUACCCCGGUAGUCCCUGUCUCUUAUAC
rnacentral:rRNA from 1 species